AGCAUACGUGCGGCCUCCACGAUACAAACUCAACUCACAGAUCAUGCCGAGCAACUAGCAGCGAUCUCACUAUCCAAAUCCAGUCUCAUAAACGCUCAGGUACAAACAGCAAACCAAUAUGGAGGAAAAUCUUAAGGAAAUCAAAAUAUGGCAGUGGAACUGCAGGGGCUUCCACCCAAAGCGGGAGGACCUACAACUCCACAUCCAA
rnacentral:lncRNA from 1 species